rnacentral:rRNA from 1 species
CUAAGUUUGAUGGCGACCGGCGCACGGGUGAGUAACACGUAUCCAACCUGCCGAUGACUCGGGGAUAGCCUUUCGAAAGAAAGAUUAAUACCCGAUGGCAUAGUUCUUCCGCAUGGUAGAACUAUUAAAGAAUUUCGGUCAUCGAUGGGGAUGCGUUCCAUUAGGUUGUUGGCGGGGUAACGGCCCACCAAGCCUUCGAUGGAUAGGGGUUCUGAGGGGAAGGUCCCCCACAUUGGAACUGAGACACGGUCCAA